rnacentral:misc_RNA from 1 species
CAUUUAAAUUUAUUUUUAUUCAUUUAUAAGUCAGUAUUUUAUCAAAAAGAUUACAUAUAUUAUAAUUAUAUAACUCCAUGACUGUUUAGGACAAAUUGGAGGACAUGUACUUCCGACUAUAAACGGUCUUACAUUUGAAGGAAAUGUUUAUGCAAAGGAUUAGUUUGGAAAGUCAAUACCUUUUGAAUACUCCAAAGUUUAUAACCAUGGAGACACAGAAUGGAGAAUCAGGGUAUGUGGAGAUCUUGCAGAAGUCCCAGCGUCCCUUCAAUCCGCUUGUUGUCAUUGAAUUCACAGCAGGUGUAAAACAGGCAGCCAUUGAAUGGAUUGUGGCUAAAAUUCAGAAGUCGAAGGCCGCAGGGGGCGCAGAGCUGGACGUCAAUGCCGUGGUCAUGCACCAUAAACAGGGUAUCACUGUUGAUCCCAACCGGAAAGGGGAAACAGUUCUGUAUGUAGGGGGCAGCACAGAGCGGUUGCUAUGGGCAGCAGACAUGAUGGAUAUUAAGAAGGAAUACCGUGAUGGUUACCAUCAUGAGUUUUCUGUCGAUGAUGUCACCAAUUUCAGAGGAUCAAAGGACCUAGACAGCUUCUUAACAAUGGCUGAGAAGCAGAAAAUUAUACUCCAUGAACUAGAGGCGGUCAGGGCCACAGAAGAUGACACUGCUAUAGCAGGCUAUGAGAGGUUCAGACUGUUGUCUGGAAACAGCAUCAUAAAGAAAUAUGUGAGUAAUGGAAUCAUUGCCAAGAUGUACCCACUUCACGAUGAAGAGGAGAUCAAACGUCUCGGAGCAGAGUGGUACCAGCUGAAGAAGUUCGCGAACGAACAGCCGAUUUACCAAAUCCGUGAUUAUUUUGGUGAGAAAAUCGGCAUGUACUUUGCUUUCCUGGGCUUCUAUACAGUAGCCCUCAUCCCGCCUGCCUUCAUAGGGAUUCUUUAUCUGGUCACGUCAUGGAAAAGCAUGUACCGGGAGGCCAUCUUUGCUGUCUUCAAUCUCAUCUGGGCUACAAUUUUCCUGGAGGCAUGGAAACGUUACUGCUCUGAGUUGUCGUUCAAGUGGGGACAGGCUCAGGACGUGGAACUUAACCGAUCACAAGAGCCACGAGCAAUGUAUCAUGGCACCAUGGAUAAAAACCCUGUGACAGGCAAGCCAGAGCCACGCUAUCCAAAGUACAAACGGUCGCUGAGGUUCUACGGAGUUACAGUUCCUGUUGUUGGAUUCUGUCUCAUGGUGGCGUUCUAUCUCAUGUUGGGAUAUUUUUAUUUACAGGCAUGGGCUGAUGAGGUGUACGCCAAGGACAAGACGUGGCUGAACAUGACUUUAAUCUACAUGCCCACCGCUAUUUACGCAGUCAUCAUUGGCAUUGUCAACAAUUUCUACAGGAAGAUCGCCAAAAUACUCAAUGAUUUCGAAAACCAUCGACUCCAGUCUUCCUACGAUAAUCAUCUGAUCGUCAAACUCAUUCUGUUUGAUUUUGUCAACUGUUUCAUCUCACUGUUUUAUGUGGCAUUCUACCUUCAAGACAUGACACUCCUCCGCAGUCACCUGGCAGCCCUCCUGGUGACCCAGCAGGUGAUUGGCCAGGUGAGAGAAGCAAUGGUCCCGUUCAUCUUCGUCCGCCGUAGGAAACAGCAGGUGGAUAAGGUGAUGCAAAAGGAAGCAGCCAUACAAAAGGUGGAAUACUUCAACGGGGAGAUGGACCAGACUAUACAGAAACAGGUCAACCUGGAAUCGACGAUGGACGAGUACGAGGGCACAAUGGACGAUUAUCUGGAAAUGUUCCUCCAGUUUGGCUACGUUUUCCUGUUCUCCUCCGCCUUUCCUCUGGCUGCUUUCUGGGCUCUGCUCAACAACGUCACCGAGAUCAGAUCUGAUGCAUUCAAGAUGUGUCGAGUGUUCCAGAGGCCGUUUGCUGAAUCAGCAUCAAACAUUGGAGCGUGGCAGGUUGCCUUUGAGGUUAUCAGUGUCAUUGCUGUGAUCACCAACUGUGCCUUGAUAGGAAUGGAUCCGGAGGUGAAGAAACUGCUACCUUCAGACAUCAGUGCUGUAAACAUUGUCAUCAUCUUUGUUGCUGUCGAGCAUGUGAUCUUGGCUGUGAAGGGAGCGGUGGCCUAUUGUAUCCCCGAUACACCCAAAUGGGUAGAAAUUGAACUGGAGAAAAUGGCUUUCCAGUCCAAACAGGCUCUACAUGCUGAGUUUGGGGCACGGCUGUGAUGGUCAUUGUUACAAUUCAAACUUGUAAUAUCAAUGGCACAGAAACUUUUUAAAGAUGAGAAUGGCUGCUGCAUCAAGUCAACAGAAGAAGCUAGGAGAUUUGCUCAAGCUGGAAACCAGAGAAACGUCCAUUUAAGUUUUAAAC